AUUUAGAAAUUUAAUACUAUAUAUAAAAACAGAAGCCUCUUUAGAGGUGCUGUCAGAUUAUAAGUAAGAAACAAGGCCACUAUAACCGGUUAAAGUUAUUGAGUACACAUAAAUAGAAAUAGAGACAGGCUAGAGGUCUGGGACGCAGAGAAAGAGGCUGGGACAUGGAGAAAGAAACAGAGAGAGGGCAGAACGGUAAAGACUUCAUCGAUUGGGCAAAAGAAAUCAAAAAAUCUCAAAACACGAUUAAGGAGGAAGGAAGAUGAAGCGGCCUUCAGCAUAAGCACAAAAAAAGCCUUUCCCAGGAACUCUCGAUAUCAGACUAUUUUUUCUUGAAUUAUGGCAGAAACUGGAGAGCGAACGACAAAGAGAAAUCUGGUCAGAAAAAACUGAGAUGACAAUCACGCAUCUACUUCUAUCAGACCCGUACUCUCCACUGAUCUUCAUGGAUCAAUUUGGUGCUGUAUCUCAACAAAAAGGUUAUCAUCCUCUGUUGCCAUUUGUUCAACAAAAAUGGGCAAAAGAAAAAGGAAACUCUUCCCCUUUGCAUGCUUUGUUCAUUUCGUUUCUGCAACUUAAUACACACAAGGUGUAGAAAAAAGUUUUAAACACCCAAAAGUGGAUAUGGUAAGCAAGUUUACCAUCAUGCAAUUGCUGCUGAAAAGCUGCCAAACUUAGAUCUUUUUCUUCAUCUUGAUGCCAAACUUAGGAUUUAAUGUCAAAAUCAAAGUUUGAGAGGGAAUUUGCAGCUUGAAAGUGGAUGGAUUAAUUGCAUUUUGUACGUUAAUAGCAAUUUCCCAUUUUGAUUUGCAAGGACAUUCUCACAAAUUUAGAGACUACUAUAUGUCCCUCUUGGCAAAUAUGUUCUGAGUAACCUACUUACAAUGAACAUAAAGCAUAAUAUUAUAUUUGUAUCAACAAAAAUGGUGUCCUCACACACUUUAUAUAUAAACGAAACUGAGGAAACAUGAAUUUUUAUAGUUAUAUUUUUUUCAACUUCUUUCAUUCCUGUUGUAACAGAGAGACGAAACUAAGUUAAACAUGCAAAAGGUUAAAUUUUAUUUGAA